GACUGGCUUUGGGUCCAUCUUCCAGUGCAGUGUUGGAUGGUUGAAGUAUGAAGCUCCUAACACUGUCUGGUAAAGAUGGCCCCCGGGUCA
ensembl:miRNA Mir141 microRNA mir-141